rnacentral:rRNA from 1 species
CCUUACCUACCCUUGACAUGUCUGGAAUGCCGAAGAGAUUUGGCAGUGCUCGCAAGAGAACCGGAACACAGGUGCUGCAUGGCUGUCGUCAGCUCGUGUCGUGAGAUGUUGGGUUAAGUCCCGCAACGAGCGCAACCCUUGUCAUUAGUUGCUACGAAAGGGCACUCUAAUGAGACUGCCGGUGACAAACCGGAGGAAGGUGGGGAUGACGUCAAGUCCUCAUGGCCCUUAUGGGUAGGGCUUCACACGUCAUACAAUGGUCGGGACAGAGGGCUGCCAACCCGCAAGGGGGAGCCAAUCCCAGAAACCCGAUCGUAGUCCGGAUCGCAGUCUGCAACUCGACUGCGUGAAGUCGGAAUCGCUAGUAAUCGCGGAUCAGCGUGUCGCGGUGAAUACGUUCCCGGGUCUUGUACACACCGCCCGUCACACCAUGGGAGUGGGUUUUACCAGAAGUAGUUAGCCUAACCGCAAGGGGGGCGAUUACCACGGUAGGAUUCAUGACUGGGGUGAAGUCGUAACAAGGUAAGCGUAGAUGA